GAUGAAGAACGCAGCGAAAUGCGAUACGUAAUGUGAAUUGCAAAUUCAGUGAAUCAUCGAGUCUUUGAACGCACAUUGCGCCCCCUGGUAUUCCGGGGGGCAUGCCUGUCCGAGCGUCAUUGCUGCCCUCAAGCACGGCUUGUGUGUUGGGCCCCGUCCUCCGAUCCCGGGGGACGGGCCCGAAAGGCAGCGGCGGCACCGCGUCCGGUCCUCGAGCGUAUGGGGCUUUGUCACCCGCUCUGUAGGCCCGGCCGGCGCUUGCCGAUCAACCCAAAUUUUUAUCCAGGUUGACCUCGGAUCAUGUAGGGAUACCCGCUGAACUUAAGCAUAUCAAUAAGCGGAGGA
rnacentral:misc_RNA from 1 species